UACGUAGGGCACAAGCGUUAUCCGGAAUUAUUGGGCGUAAAGAGCUCGUAGGCGGUUUGUCGCGUCUGCCGUGAAAGUCCGGGGCUCAACUCCGGAUCUGCGGUGGGUACGGGCAGACUAGAGUGUGGUAGGGGAGACUGGAAUUCCUGGUGUAGCGGUGAAAUGCGCAGAUAUCAGGAGGAACACCGAUGGCGAAGGCAGGUCUCUGGGCCAUAACUGACGCUGAGAAGCGAAAGCAUGGGGAGCGAACAGG
rnacentral:rRNA from 1 species